AGAGUUUGAUCCUGGCUCAGGACGAACGCUGGCGGCGCGCUUAACACAUGCAAGUCGUGCGAUACCUCGAGCGAGUCUUACGACGAGCUCAAGGUAGAGCGGCGGACGGGUGAGUAACACGUGAGUAGCUGUCCUAAGGAGGGGGAUAACGCCUGGAAACGGGUGCUAAAACCCCAUAUGCCUCGCAAGAGGUGAAAGUGUAUUACUACAGCCUUAGGGUGUGCUCGCGGCCUAUCAGCUAGUUGGUGAGGUAAUGGCUCACCAAGGCUAAGACGGGUAGCCGGCCUGAGAGGGUGUACGGCCACACUGGAAUUGAGAUACGGUCCAGACUCCUACGGGAGGCAGCAGUGGGGAAUCUUGGGCAAUGGGCGAAAGCCUGACCCAGCGACGCCGCGUUGGGGAUGAAGCCCUUCGGGGUGUAAACCCAUGUUGUAGGGGACGAAGAAAGUGACGGUACCCUACGAGGAAGCCCCGGCUAACUACGUGCCAGCAGCCGCGGUAAGACGUAGGGGGCGAGCGUUGUCCGGAAUUACUGGGCGUAAAGGGCACGCAGGCGGUGCGCCAAGUCGAGGGUGUAAAGUUACGGCUCAACCGUGACAUUGCAAUCGAUACUGGCGCGCUGGAGUGCGGGAGAGGGAAGUGGAAUUCCCGGUGUAGCGGUGAAAUGCGUAGAUAUCGGGAGGAACGCCAGUGGCGAAGGCGGCUUCCUGGCCCGCGACUGACGCUCAUGUGCGAAAGCCAGGGGAGCGAACCGG
rnacentral:rRNA from 1 species